UCCCUGGUGGCUUAGACACUAAAGCAUCUGCCUGCAAUGCGGAAGACCCAGGUUCUAUUCCUGAGUUGGGAA
rnacentral:tRNA from 1 species